ACGCUGGCGGCGUGCCUAAUACAUGCAAGUCGAACGAGAGCGACCGGUGCUUGCACUGGUCAAUCUAGUGGCGAACGGGUGAGUAACACGUGGGUAACCUGCCCAUCAGAGGGGGAUAACAUUCGGAAACGGAUGCUAAAACCGCAUAGGUUCUUGAGUCGCAUGACCCGAGAAGGAAAAGAGGCUUCGGCUUCUGCUGAUGGAUGGACCCGCGGUGCAUUAGCUAGUUGGUGAGGUAACGGCUCACCAAGGCCGUGAUGCAUAGCCGACCUGAGAGGGUGAUCGGCCACAUUGGGACUGAGACACGGCCCAAACUCCUACGGGAGGCAGCAGUAGGGAAUCUUCCGCAAUGGACGCAAGUCUGACGGAGCAACGCCGCGUGAGUGAAGAAGGAUUUCGGUUCGUAAAACUCUGUUGUUAGAGAAGAACAGCGCAUAGAGUAACUGUUAUGCGUGUGACGGUAUCUAACCAGAAAGCCACGGCUAACUACGUGCCAGCAGCCGCGGUAAUACGUAGGUGGCAAGCGUUGUCCGGAUUUAUUGGGCGUAAAGCGAGCGCAGGCGGUCAAUUAAGUCUGAUGUGAAAGCCCCCGGCUCAACCGGGGAGGGUCAUUGGAAACUGGUUGACUUGAGUGCAGAAGAGGAGAGUGGAAUUCCAUGUGUAGCGGUGAAAUGCGUAGAUAUAUGGAGGAACACCAGUGGCGAAGGCGACUCUCUGGUCUGUAACUGACGCUGAGGCUCGAAAGCGUGGGUAGCAAACAGGAUUAGAUACCCUGGUAGUCCACGCCGUAAACGAUGAGUGCUAAGUGUUGGAGGGUUUCCGCCCUUCAGUGCUGCAGUUAACGCAUUAAGCACUCCGCCUGGGGAGUACGACCGCAAGGUUGAAACUCAAAGGAAUUGACGGGGACCCGCACAAGCGGU
rnacentral:rRNA from 1 species